rnacentral:rRNA from 1 species
UGCCAGCCGCCGCGGUAAUACGGAGGGUGCAAGCGUUGUUCGGAAUUACUGGGCGUAAAGCGCGCGUAGGCGGCUAUUUAAGUCAGAUGUGAAAGUCCACGGCUCAACCGUGGAAGUGCAUUUGAAACUGGAUAGCUUGAGUAUUGGAGGGGGUAGUGGAAUUCCCGGUGUAGAGGUGAAAUUCGUAGAUAUCGGGAGGAAUACCGGUGGCGAAGGCGGCCUGCUGGGCUUGUUCUGACGCUAAGGCGCGAAAGCGUGGGGAGCAAACGGGAUUAGAUA